GACGUAGGGCGCGAGCGUUGUCCGGAUUUAUUGGGCGUAAAGAGCUCGUAGGCGGCUUGUCGCGUCGUCCGUGAAAACUUGGGGCUCAACCCCAAGCUUGCGGUCGAUACGGGCAGGCUAGAGUUCGGUAGGGGAGACUGGAAUUCCUGGUGUAGCGGUGAAAUGCGCAGAUAUCAGGAGGAACACCGGUGGCGAAGGCGGGUCUCUGGGCCGAUACUGACGCUGAGGAGCGAAAGCGUGGGGAGCGAACCGG
rnacentral:rRNA from 1 species